UGAGGGAAAGGCGAAAAGAACCCCGGCGAGGGGAGUGAAAAAGAACCUGAAACCGUGUACGUACAAGCAGUGGGAGCCCCACCACUAAGCCAGUGGUGAACUCCACAUACGCAUCCUUUGCUGAGGAUACGGUUAACGGAGCGAAAGCGACGUUCAACCGCAAAACAAGCAGAGGGGGCUUAGUGGUGGGGUGACUGCGUACCUUUUGUAUAAUGGGUCAGCGACUUAUAUUCUGUAGCAAGGUUAACCGUAUAGGGGAGCCGUAGGGAAACCGAGUCUUAACCGGGCGUUAAGUUGCAGGGUAUAGACCCGAAACCCGGUGAUCUAGCCAUGGGCAGGUU
rnacentral:rRNA from 1 species